GACGAACGCUGGCGGCGUGCCUAAUACAUGCAAGUAGAACGCUGAAGGAGGAGCUUGCUUCUCCGGAUGAGUUGCGAACGGGUGAGUAACGCGUAGGUAACCUGCCUGGUAGCGGGGGAUAACUAUUGGAAACGAUAGCUAAUACCGCAUAAGAGUAGAUGUCGCAUGACAUUUGCUUAAAAGGUGCAACUGCACCACUACCAGAUGGACCUGCGUUGUAUUAGCUAGUUGGUGAGGUAACGGCUCACCAAGGCAACGAUACAUAGCCGACCUGAGAGGGUGAUCGGCCACACUGGGACUGAGACACGGCCCAGACUCCUACGGGAGGCAGCAGUAGGGAAUCUUCGGCAAUGGACGGAAGUCUGACCGAGCAACGCCGCGUGAGUGAAGAAGGUUUUCGGAUCGUAAAGCUCUGUUGUAAGAGAAGAACGAGUGUGAGAGUGGAAAGUUCACACUGUGACGGUAGCUUACCAGAAAGGGACGGCUAACUACGUG
rnacentral:rRNA from 1 species